rnacentral:rRNA from 1 species
ACUGGCAGGCUAGAGUCUUGUAGAGGGGGGUAGAAUUCCAGGUGUAGCGGUGAAAUGCGUAGAGAUCUGGAGGAAUACCGGUGGCGAAGGCGGCCCCCUGGACAAAGACUGACGCUCAGGUGCGAAAGCGUGGGGAGCAAACAGGAUUAGAUACCCUGGUAGUCCACGCCGUAAACGAUGUCGAUUUGGAGGUUGUGCCCUUGAGGCGUGGCUUCCGGAGCUAACGCGUUAAAUCGACCGCCUGGGGAGUACGGCCGCAAGGUUAAAACUCAAAUGAAUUGACGGGGGCCCGCACAAGCGGUGGAGCAUGUGGUUUAAUUCGAUGCAACGCGAAGAACCUUACCUGGUCUUGACAUCCACA